GGUCCGUGGUGCCUGAGGGAGGGUUUGGGAUGGGGGAGCGUCCGGCGGGAGGAGGAGACGGGGAAAUUCCCGCUCCUCCCGCCGUGCCCGUGGGAAUUCCAUGGAAAUCCUGCAGUUAGGUGGCCCUGGAAGAGGAAAAAAAACCCCAAAAUUCCUAAAAAUUCCCUCAAGGCUUCUGUGGGAACGUCAUCCCACAAAAAAAAAAGAAAAAAAAAUUGAAUUUUGAGGGAUUUUUGGGGUUUUCAGGGACUCACGUGGCCCCGCAGAGCUGGCCCGAGCUCAGCCACCUCAGGAAUUCCUGCUCCCAAAAUUCCCUCAAGCCCUCAGAGCCUUCCAGAGCUGGAAAACUGCAAAAAAAACCCACAAAAAAACCCCAAAAAAUUAAAAAUAAUCAGUGAAAACAGAAUUAAAGGGAAAAAAUUGCA